AGUGGCGAACGGGUGAGUAACACGUGAGUAACCUGCCCUUAACUCUGGGAUAAGCCUGGGAAACUGGGUCUAAUACCGGAUAGGAGCGUCUACCGCAUGGUGGGUGUUGGAAAGAUUUAUCGGUUUUGGAUGGACUCGCGGCCUAUCAGCUUGUUGGUGAGGUAAUGGCUCACCAAGGCGACGACGGGUAGCCGGCCUGAGAGGGUGACCGGCCACACUGGGACUGAGACACGGCCCAGACUCCUACGGGAGGCAGCAGUGGGGAAUAUUGCACAAUGGGCGCAAGCCUGAUGCAGCGACGCCGCGUGAGGGAUGACGGCCUUCGGGUUGUAAACCUCUUUCAGUAGGGAAGAAGCGAAAGUGACGGUACCUGCAGAAGAAGCACCGGCUAACUACGUGCCAGCAGCCGCGGUAAUACGUAGGGUGCGAGCGUUAUCCGGAAUUAUUGGGCGUAAAGAGCUCGUAGGCGGUUUGUCGCGUCUGUCGUGAAAGUCCGGGGCUUAACCCCGGAUCUGCGGUGGGUACGGGCAGACUAGAGUGCAGUAGGGGAGACUGGAAUUCCUGGUGUAGCGGUGGAAUGCGCAGAUAUCAGGAGGAACACCGAUGGCGAAGGCAGGUCUCUGGGCUGUAACUGACGCUGAGGAGCGAAAGCAUGGGGAGCGAACAGGAUUAGAUACCCUGGUAGUCCAUGCCGUAAACGUUGGGCACUAGGUGUGGGGACCAUUCCACGGUUUCCGCGCCGCAGCUAACGCAUUAAGUGCCCCGCCUGGGGAGUACGGCCGCAAGGCUAAAACUCAAAGGAAUUGACGGGGGCCCGCACAAGCGGCGGAGCAUGCGGAUUAAUUCGAUGCAACGCGAAGAACCUUACCAAGGCUUGACAUGUUCUCGAUCGCCGUAGAGAUACGGUUUCCCCUUUGGGGCGGGUUCACAGGUGGUGCAUGGUUGUCGUCAGCUCGUGUCGUGAGAUGUUGGGUUAAGUCCCGCAACGAGCGCAACCCUCGUUCCAUGUUGCCAGCACGUCCUGGUGGGGAAUCAUGGGAAGACUGCCGGGGUCAAUUCGG
rnacentral:rRNA from 1 species